AGGGGCUCUGUGCUAGACUGGGACUCAAAUGCUGGGAUGGUAUAUGGUAAUAAAACCUCCCAGGAAGUAUCCUGUGGCCAUUGAAUUCAAUGAUGAUACAUUCUAACAACUAAUACCUGUCACCGAGUUUCUCUGUUAUUGUCACCAUGAAGCUGGCAAGAGCUUCUCAUAGAUUACAUCCAACUGAAAGCCAAUGGAUAUGGGAGCUGUGUGGAUGUAGUCGUUAGCUUCCAAGAAGAGAGGGCAAGAAGUCAGAGGAAAAUGGCUUUAAAGGAACAGAGACAAGAAAACUAAUUUAAUACGUUGUCAUUUACCCAACCACAUGCUUCUUGAUUUAUCUGGUUUCCUAUCUCUUUAACUUUUUAGAAAAGUGGAUAAUAUUCAUCACAUCUUUGUCAACAGUUCGUUGUACAUUUAAUUCAAUGUAGUUACAUUUGGAUAUGUUUAUGAAUAUUUUAUGUUCUUUCUUGUAAUUAAUAGUAAAAUGGUGUGUCAAGUUUGUUUCUGGAAAGAACAGUAAAAUCUCACAAAAAUUU